rnacentral:rRNA from 1 species
CGAGUUUGAUCAUGGCUCAGAACGAACGCUGGCGGCAGGCCUAACACAUGCAAGUCGAGCGCCCCGCAAGGGGAGCGGCGGACGGGUGAGUAACGCGUGGGAACGUACCCUUUGCUACGGAAUAGCCUCGGGAAACUGGGAGUAAUACCGUAUGUGCCCUUCGGGGAAAGAUUUAUCGGCAAAGGAUCGGCCCGCGUUGGAUUAGGUAGUUGGUGGGGUAAUGGCCUACCAAGCCGACGAUCCAUAGCUGGUUUGAGAGGAUGAUCAGCCACACUGGGACUGAGACACGGCCCAGACUCCUACGGGAGGCAGCAGUGGGGAAUCUUAGACAAUGGGCGCAAGCCUGAUCUAGCCAUGCCGCGUGAGCGAUGAAGGCCUUAGGGUUGUAAAGCUCUUUCAGUGGGGAAGAUAAUGACUGUACCCACAGAAGAAGCCCCGGCUAACUCCGUG